GUCAGACUGCAUCUCAGCCCUGUCAAGAUGGAUCUCCACAAUAGCUUCAACGGUUUGGAGCAAAACCCCUGCUCUACCUCUCUGACAAGGUUUCCUCUUUCAAGAAUUCAGAGAAGAGGAAAAGGCUUUGAGGAAACAUCCCCUGCCGAAGCUGUUCCUCAUUCAAUGUUUCAGGGCAAUAAUUUGUGCUUUGGACAAUCUGUUGCUGGUGGAAGAAUGCCUGGGCAAGCUCCUCCAACCAUCUGACAGAGCAGACCAUCUGACAGAGAGGUUCUAGAGUCUUGCGAACAAGACUUGUUUUCCCAGUAUUAGUUCACUUUUAUCAAUUAAACCUCUAAUGUUUCCAUGCUACAGAAGUCAAGCAAUUUUCUUAGUAAAUCUAGCAGAUGUUUAAAGAUAACUUCUGCCUUUCCUCUCUCAGCAUAACAUCCAGAGCACUACCCUGUUGUGUUACCAACACAUUGUGAUAAGAAUUAAUGAGGAAGUUCUCUCCAGGGCACUACAGAUUGUGUCCAGAAUUAUCAAGGUUUCUGGAGACUAAUCCAAUGGUACUAAGAAUUUUUAUUUUAUUUGGAAUGGGCCAUUGUGAAUAGUCAGUCCUUUGCAUCUGAGGUACUGUCAUGGGCCAGCUGUGAGGUGUUUCAGCUGCUUGGAAUCUGACGAGUAUCAUGAGAGGUCAUGGUUUCCUGAGAGGAGGACAAGGAGUGGAGAAUUAUGUGAAAAUGUUAAGGUCAAGGCAUGCUCAGUACAAUCCACUUGAGAACUAAAAGCAUUAUUCACCUGGGGAAAUCUUGCUCUAGAAUUCAUGCUUAAUGAAAUUAACUUCAUCCCUGAAUUAACCUUAUCCCUUUUAUCACAGGAAAGUGGUUGUUGAGGAGAAGGCCCACUGCAGAAAACAGCCCUAGGUCAGGAAGGAGCAGAAUCAAAAGGCCUUGUUGCAGACAUGGGGCUGCUGGAGCCCAGGUGUUCCUCUUACUGAGAACUGCCUCACUUUGCUAAAUUCUCCAGAAUGUGGGCACAUAGGAAGCUGCUUUAUACUGAGCCAGAUCAAUGGACCAUCUAGAUUAGUAUUGUCUACACAGAUUGGCAGAAGCUCUCAAGAGUUUCAGGCAGCACAUCUGUGGCGUUUGCCCUCCUAGGUGGGUCAUAAGGAAAGGGUUAAAUGAGUGUGAAGUGAUUGGCCAGUGGGAACCCAAGGGGAGGAGUUAGAGUUAGAGUUGGAGUUGUUGGGAAGUCAGUUGGGAGUUGGAGAAGGAAGAGGGAGGAUAAGUCUGUGGGUUGGUCGAGUUGUGUUGUGAGAGAAUGAGAGAAACUGAUAGGAGUCAGAUAGACAGUUGGGAUAAUCAGUUAGCAGUUAUUUAGGAAAGGUAUAAGCCGGUAUAGAAACUAAGAUUAAGAAACUGACAAGAAAAAUUAUCUGAAACCAUAAACUUGUUAAGGCUUAUAAAAUAAACUUGCUUAUUUGAUUUAAUGUUAACAA